GGCCCCGUGGCCAAACUGGAUAAGGCAAUGGACUUCUAAUCCAUAGACUGUAGGUUCGAAUCCUACCGGGGUCGCCA
rnacentral:tRNA from 1 species